rnacentral:rRNA from 1 species
UACAGAGACUGCAAGCGUUAUUCGGAUUCACUGGGCGUAAAGGGUGCGCAGGCGGCCAAGUGUGUCAGGUGUGAAAUCCCGAGCUUAACCUCGGAACUGCGCCUGAAACUACUUGGCUAGAGUACUGGAGAGGGUAACGGAAUUCACGGUGUAGCAGUGAAAUGCGUAGAUAUCGUGAGGAACACCAGAGGCGAAGGCGGUUACCUGGACAGUUACUGACGCUGAGGCGCGAAAGCGUGGGGAGCGAUCCGG